rnacentral:rRNA from 1 species
GAUGAACGCUGGCGGCGUGCCUAAUACAUGCAAGUCGAGCGAACAGACGAGGAGCUUGCUCCUUUGACGUUAGCGGCGGACGGGUGAGUAACACGUAGGUAACCUACCUAUAAGACUGGGAUAACUUCGGGAAACCGGAGCUAAUACCGGAUAAUAUUUCGGACCGCAUGGUUCGAUAGUGAAAGAUGGCUUUGCUAUCACUUAUAGAUGGACCUGCGCCGUAUUAGCUAGUUGGUAAGGUAACGGCUUACCAAGGCAACGAUACGUAGCCGACCUGAGAGGGUGAUCGGCCACACUGGAACUGAGACACGGUCCAGACUCCUACGGGAGGCAGCAGUAGGGAAUCUUCCGCAAUGGGCGAAAGCCUGACGGAGCAACGCCGCGUGAGUGAUGAAGGUCUUCGGAUCGUAAAACUCUGUUAUUAGGGAAGAACAAACGUGUAAGUAACUGUGCACGUCUUGACGGUACCUAAUCAGAAAGCCACGGCUAACUACGUG